rnacentral:rRNA from 1 species
CGUGGCGGACGGGUGAGUAACGCGUGGGUAACCUGCCUCAUACAGGGGGAUAACGGUUAGAAAUGACUGCUAAUACCGCAUAAGCGCACAGUACCGCAUGGUACGGUGUGAAAAACUCCGGUGGUAUGAGAUGGACCCGCGUCUGAUUAGCUAGUUGGUGGGGUAACGGCCCACCAAGGCGACGAUCAGUAGCCGACCUGAGAGGGUGACCGGCCACAUUGGGACUGAGACACGGCCCAA